rnacentral:rRNA from 1 species
AGGACAAACGCUGGCGGCGUACCUAAGACAUGCAAGUCGAACGAGGCUUCCGGCUUCGGUUGGGAGGCGAGUGGCGAACGGGUGAGUAACACGUAGGAACCUAUCAGUGCGUGGGGGAUACCGCUGGGAAACCGGCGCUAAUACCGCAUAGGGUCCCGGGGAACCGGGAGCAAAGCCGCAAGGCGCGCACUGAGGGGCCUGUGGCCGAUUAGCUGGUUGGUGGGGUAAAGGCCUACCAAGGCGACGAUCGGUAGCUGGU